CAUAUAGUUAUGAAUAUAAAUAUUUAAAAUAUAUUAUAUAUAUAGACAUAAAAGUCUUAUUGGAUUCUAAUUAUUAGUGGAAGAAAAGGUGUAUUGUGUUGGUUAAUCAACCGUUGAUUUAUGUAGUCAAGGAAUAUCUAUUAGACGCCAGAGUGAGAGUUAGUCUCUGUAAUCUAGGUGAUCGUACGCCGUUAUGCCAAGCUGUUUUUAGAACCCUGGCGAUUUCCCAAAGUUGAAAAAGGUUAGAUCAUUGAUCUCCUGUAUCCCACUAUUUUAUCUCUCGUAGUUCUCUCAAAAAAUGGCCAAGAAACACUCCCUUUACCUUAAACCUAAGGAAUACAUAUAGUGGUGAUCAUGUAGGCCUUUCGAGCUUGGACUGAUAUAUCUCUAGGCUUCUGAGCUGGAGCGACUGUGGUCCUUGCGUCAUCGCAUGACUCUAAAAU
rnacentral:lncRNA from 1 species